rnacentral:rRNA from 1 species
UACGAAGGGGGCUAGCGUUGCUCGGAAUCACUGGGCGUAAAGAGCGUGUAGGCGGUCCGGUAAGUCCGCUGUGAAAGUCGGGGGCUCAACCCUCGAAUGCCGGUGGAUACUGUCGGGCUAGAGUGCGGAAGAGGCGAGUGGAAUUCCUGGUGUAGCGGUGAAAUGCGCAGAUAUCAGGAGGAACACCUAUUGCGAAGGCAGCUCGCUGGGACGUUACUGACGCUGAGACGCGAAAGCGUGGGGAGCAAACAGG